rnacentral:tmRNA from 2 species
GGGGAUGCUUUGGGUUCGACGGCAGGAAUGCAUGUAUAGGGAGCAUGCCGUGAGGCGACACGUUAAAUAGCCAACAACAAUAAAUGCUAAUGACGAAUUAGCUCUUGCUGCUUAAUUAAAAGCAGCCGUUUCAGCGGGGGGCGCCUGCAGUUUCCGCCGAAACGUUAACCCUGCGGGAUAGUCCGCUGCAUUCCUCUAACAGCGGGCGAAAUAAACAGAGGAUAUACCGCAGCAGGCAGGCUGUCCGGCCCUGCAGCGAAGAACUCCCCCAAACGGGCAGCUGAGCAUGGAGAGCCCUGUGCAUUCAUCUUGUCGGACGCGGGUUCAAUUCCCGCCAUCUCCAUUU